GAGUUUGAUCGUGGCUCAGGACGAACGCUGGCGGCGUGCUUAACACAUGCAAGUCGAGCGGAAAGGCCCUUCGGGGUACUCGAGCGGCGAACGGGUGAGUAACACGUGAGUAACCCUGCCCCAGGGCUUUGGGAUAACCCUCGGAAACGGGGGCUAAUACCGGAUACUUCAUUCCGCGUGGCAUACACGUGGUUGUGGAAAAGUUUUUUCGGCUUGGGAUGGGCUCGCGGCCUAUCAGCUUGUUGGUGGGGUGAUGGCCUACCAAGGCGACGACGGGUAGCCGGCCUGAGAGGGCGGACCGGCCACACUGGGACUGAGACACGGCCCAGACUCCUACGGGAGGCAGCAGUGGGGAAUAUUGCACAAUGGGCGGAA
rnacentral:rRNA from 1 species